rnacentral:rRNA from 1 species
AUACGUAGGGUGCGAGCGUUAAUCGGAAUUACUGGGCGUAAAGCGUGCGCAGGCGGUUUGAUAAGACAGGCGUGAAAUCCCCGGGCUCAACCUGGGAACUGCGUUUGUGACUGUCUCACUAGAGUACGGCAGAGGGGGGUGGAAUUCCACGUGUAGCAGUGAAAUGCGUAGAGAUGUGGAGGAACACCAAUGGCGAAGGCAGCCCCCUGGGUCGAUACUGACGCUCAUGCACGAAAGCGUGGGUAGCAAACAGGAUUAGAUACCCUGGUAGUCCACGCCCUAAACGAUGUCAACUAGGUGUUGGGAGGGUAAAACCUUUUAGUACCGUAGCUAACGCGAGAAGUUGACCGCCUGGGGAGUACGGCCGCAAGGUUAAA